AUAAAGGUUUGGUCCUAGCCUUACUAUUAGCUGUUUUUCAAUUUACACAUGCAAGUCUCAGCACCCCAGUGAGAACGCCCUUUUAACCUUCACCAGGAAAAGGAGCCGGCAUCAGGCACGACCCCGCCCAUAACGCCUAGUCUCACCACACCCCCAAGGGUAACAGCAGUGAUAAAUCUUAAAUAUGAGCGAUAGCUUGAUUUAGUUAGAGAAAAGAGGGCCGGCUAACCCGGUGCCAGCCGCCGCGGCUACACCGUGGGGCCCAAGCUAAUAGUCAUCGGCGUUAAGCGUGAUUAAAGCCCCCAACAAUUAGGGCUAAAUUAAUACUUAGUAGUGAUAAGCUUGUUAUUAAGAAACCCAUAAACGAAAGUUACCCUAAUUAAACUUGAAUACACGACAGCUA
rnacentral:rRNA from 1 species